ACGGGAGGCAGCAGUGGGGAAUAUUGCACAAUGGGCGAAAGCCUGAUGCAGCGACGCCGCGUGAGCGAAGAAGUAUCUCGGUAUGUAAAGCUCUAUCAGCAGGGAAGAAAAUGACGGUACCUGACUAAGAAGCCCCGGCUAACUACGUGCCAGCAGCCGCGGUAAUACGUAGGGGGCAAGCGUUAUCCGGAUUUACUGGGUGUAAAGGGAGCGUAGACGGAGAGGCAAGUCUGAUGUGAAAGCCCGGGGCUCAACCCCGGGACUGCAUUGGAAACUGUUUAUCUAGAGUGCCGGAGGGGUAAGUGGAAUUCCUAGUGUAGCGGUGAAAUGCGUAGAUAUUAGGAGGAACACCAGUGGCGAAGGCGGCUUACUGGACGGUAACUGACGUUGAGGCUCGAAAGCGUGGGGAGCAAACAGGAUUAGAUACCCUGGUA
rnacentral:rRNA from 1 species